GCAAGAUUUAUUAAUACAUCCAAAAAGAAAGAAAAUAAUCUUUUUGUCACACUAUAUACAGAUAAUACACAGUUUUAUACACAUAUUACAUCAGAUUUUUUUAUGUUUUCCUUUAUAAUACACAAGAAAAAUAUACAUAAAAAUGUAAACUUUUGUAUACAAAAACCCUUAAACAAACCAAACAAUGACCAGAUAAAAAAAAGAUCACUUUCUGCUGCUGUUGGAUUUUUUAAAUAGCAAUUUGUUGCAUUCACUGCCAGAAUCACGUGAAAAUGCUUAGUAAACUAAAGUGAAAAUAUCAGGUUUGCUGUAUUUACUUCAAAUUCAUGAAAGCAAGUGCUUGCAAAAAAACAAACAAUUUAAGGGGUUAUUUCAAGCAUUAUUACCACUACAGCCCGCUGUAGUCGUUAUGAUGGUAGAAGUAUCCUGGCACUGUUUUCGGGUAAUGAGUCAAACCAAUUUGCAACCAUUUUCCCUGUUACCUGUGUCCCUGCCGGAUGCAGAAGGUCGUCCAAUGGCCGAUGACCUGCAUCCGAUUCACAGAACUGCAAAAGCAGGAUGCACAUACUUUUAACAUUCAUUGGCUGAAUGCGUGAGCUGAUCGCUCUCAUGCAAUGAAUGCAACUCUGUGCAUAGAAAUGUGUAGAAUUGACAAUAGCCAACCUUGAACUCUUGUUCCUGGCUGGCUAAUGACACUCCAGUGACUCUGACAAAGGUGGAGUUACACAUCUGGCAGCAAAGGAGUUCAACUCUGUAUAUGCAGCGUUUCAUAGUGAAAAAAUGCACAUAUAGACUCCAGGCACCAUGACCACUUUAAAUAACUAAUCUUUCAGGUAGACAUAAUAGCCUAGGUUUUUUUGUUCGUUUUUAAUUUCUAAAAUCUAAAUUUUUUGCUGGCACACAAUCCAAAUAUGCACAUCUCAGCUAUUAGAAAAUGUUAAGUAAUCAACAAUUUAAAUAGAAUAAAAACUGACUUUCUUUAUAACAGUUUGUUUCAGUAUUUAUUGUAGAUAAUUUCACUACAUCCAUUAGCACCAAGAAUUUAAAUUUAACCUAAUAAACCAAGGUGAAUCACAACUUAACUUUAGUGUCCAAUAGCAGCCUCUAUGCAGUAUUUGUCAAAAUUAGGCGAUAAAUGCCUUUGAACCUGCUAGAAGCAUUAAAGCCAAACAAAAAAAUGGUAUUUUAUAAAAAUAGAAUCUUUAUGAAAUACUCAUUUCACUGAUGUUUCAACCCAGUCAAGAGAUAGGAAGAGACAAAGUAGGGUCUACUUUGUCUCUGUAUUUCUCCUAAGUCUGACUUUCUUAGACUCUUGGCAGAGUCUAAAGGUCAAGCAGGACAGCUGUCACCAGUGAAUUGGUUGUGUCUAUGGAGGAUCCUGCUAGCUUGUGGGAUCCUCCAUAAACCUCAAAGCUGAACUCUUGCAUGCAGCAUUGACUCUGAAAAGGAUCUGAUGGAUCAAGAUGGCCGCAACAGUAAACUUCCCUUUACCUGCCCUCUUUUUCCCCGGCCACCGGACUCCCAGUGGCGAUGUCACUGUCGGGAGUCUUUGCAGUCGGGAGUCCCCAGACUGUGACUAUGCCUCUUUAACUCCUCUAGGAACAAUAAAAAGUUUUGCCAUUGUUAUUCUGCUGCCCCUAAAUGCCAGGAUGGUUUGACUUGCUUAUUGAGCUUUAGCAGCAGUGUAUAGCUCUGUCAUGAAAUGAACGAGGCAUUUAAAUUUUGAAAUCAUGAUGGCAUUCUGAGGUUGACUAGCGUGGCAUAGAACUUUCACUUUAACGCCUUAAGGACACGUGACAUGUGUGACAUGUCAUGAUCCCCUUUUAUUCCAGAAGUUUGGUCCUUAAGGGGUUAAAAGUUUUAGAGAACAAAUUUUUUCCUUCAGUUACAGAUUGCUCUUUUUAUCAUAUCUGGUUCUUUUGGAUAUUUUGCAUAAUUAUGAACAUAAGAGUAAAAUGGAUUGUGGAUCCUGGCAGUGAAUGAGUUACAGCCUAUUACAGGUGCCACACAUUGAAUGUUACUUUGAAUGGUUUUUCUGCCUAAAAUGCAGUUAGGAUUUGAGUCUAUGGCAUUUCUAUGGCAUAUCAACCCGUUUUUAAUGCCAGAAAUGCCGGUUACAUACUGCACAUAAAUACAGUGUGGCUCUUGCCAGCAAUGAAAGGGUUAACUUUUAUCUUUUUACAUCAGACAAAUGUCACAUACAACGGAAUCGCAACUAAAAAUAUCAGUAUAUCCUUGCUACCAUGCAGUUAUAGAAUUAAGAGUAAAAUAUUUUUAACAGUGCACCACAACUUACCGUUUAAGGUUUAUAAAUAUUUCUUGCAUUUUAAGAGGGUUUUUUUUGUUUGUUUUUUUAAAUAAAAAUUGUGAUGCAUCAUUCACAGCUGAUCUAUAGAAUACCAAAAAAAAAAAGUACAUAGCGGAUGUUAACUUCAUGAAUUUGAAUAGUCAUUAAACGUUCAAAUAACUAUUUCUUGGGGUCAACAUACUUACACAACUGCAUGUUAUACCCACUCCUUAUGGCUGACAAACCACAUCUUAAAAUUAUUUGAAUUCAACAGAUGAAUAAUGGGAGUUCUAAUGCAGCAACAUCUUAAGGUCAGAAAGCUUUAAAAGCCCUGUACUAAAUCAUUCAGCUUUAGCAGCUCAUUAUUAAAAUUGAUGAGGCAGCUCAUUUAUUCCUUGGCAAAAGUUAUUUUAUUGUCUAUUUAAGACUUCACAAGAUUCUCACCUCUAAUGACCACUUACCCAUUUUAGGGUUGGCCCCACGUUGAAAAGGGGACUCUAAAGUUCACAUGUAUGCCUUGAAUCCUACGGUCUGCUGAAUUACAAACAAUUAGCUGAAUUUUGGAUGCAGAGUCUCUGCGUACUUGUCCUAAUGUUUAUUGUUAUAACUUACUUCAAAUAACUAUGGAAACCCAGAAAGGCCAUGUAUUAACUUUGUUAACGUGCUUCCUCGAAUAAACAAGGUGUUUUCUCAAGAUAACAAGUCAGAAAAAUUUAAAAAAGCAAUGCCUUCCUGAGCUUCUGUAAAUAACAUAACUAGCUUUAUUUUAAAUACUACAUUUAAAUAAUUAAAAUCUUUUUUUUUUUAAAGUUAAUUUAAAAAAAUUAAAAAGCCAAAUGAUCUAGCAAUGAUUUUUAUUUAUUUUAUUGCCAGUGACUGAAGUCUAGGUGAACUUUUUUUUUUUUUUUUUUUUAAAUGCCAACUAGAAUAUAUAUAUUUAAUUUCAAAUAUUUUAUUCUAGGUCUCUGCUACUCACUGCUUUCUCUAAAAUGAAAUCUUUUCUUGCGCUAUUUGAAGGUGCAGGAAUGCACAAGUCACAUGAACUUAGAAUUCAAACCUUUUUAUGCGUAAAUAAGGAAAAGCUUGCACUAAUGAGCGGAAUUUUAGUUUUAAUAGCACAAUCACGAUACAGCUAGGAGUCAAAUCAGUGACCAGAUAACGUAGAAACUAAAGUAUAAAAAAAGAAUGACAGCAAUGUACUGUGUAUGCUUUUAUAUAUAUAUAUAUACAUACAUAUACACACACACACACACACACACAGUAGUAGCUUGCACUCCAACAAUACUUUUGUAGUGCCCGGUGCUGGUUGUGGCAAAGGUAGAUAUGGGUGUAGAAACAAUCGCACUCCUGGGACUUGGUUAAAGUAGUAAAAUUUAGCUUGUAUUUAUUCCAUAUAAAAUAUCAACAUUUCUGUUCCAACAUGGAGCUUUCAUCUUGUUACCUGUCCUGAUGAAAGCUCCAUGUUAGAGCUGAAACGUAUUGGACUUUUUCCUAAAAUUGGUCUAUAACAUUUAGGCAAUUGUAUUUUAAUAUUUUCCUUUACUCAACUAAUGAAACUAGAAAUUACAACAUAAAAAGUUGUAACUGUCAAUACGUGUUCUUUACUCUAGAGUUAUCCAGACUUUUUUAGAUCUCAGCAUUGAGAAUGACACAUGGUGUUUACAGAAAUGCGCUUCUAAAUUUAAAACAAAAAAUACAUUUUUAUUAGACAUCAUACCAAAACAAAUGGUUUCAUAAAACACUCACUACUUAACACAACACACAAAACAUACACAC